rnacentral:rRNA from 1 species
CUUGCUUGGGGUACUCGAGUGGCGAACGGGUGAGUAAUACGUGGGUAACCUGCCCUCUUCUUUGGGAUAAGCCCCGGAAACGGGGUCUAAUACCGGAUAUUCUGCUUCUGCCGCAUGGUGGGGGUUGGAAAGGUUUUUCGGUGGGGGAUGGGCCCGCGGCCCAUCAGCUUGUUGGUGGGGUGAUGGCCUACCAAGGCUUCGACGGGUAGCCGGCCUGAGAGGGUGACCGGCCACAUUGGGACUGAGAUACGGCCCAGACUCCUACGGGAGGCAGCAGGC